UGUUCUGAUAUAACAUUUUCAGUUGCAAUAUCUUGCUGAAGAAAUUUAGAUGUGCAACAGAAGUUCCAUUGCACUUAUCUUGUUUGAAUCACUACCCACAAUUUCUGGAAUUUCAUCAAAGAAACAUAUACUUGGAGCCAAGGGGUGGAUAUAAUCAUUAGUUAUGGUGCCUCAGGCUGCUCCAUCUCAGGUACAACAUAUAAUUCUGCUUUAUUUCUUGUCCCCUGCUGCUUCACUCUCUUGUUGCCUGUUAUGAUUGUGAUCCAACGGAUAUGUAUAGCUAAGUUCUGUUCAUCCCUAAUGGAAGUAAAUGAAACAUUGCUGUCUCAUCAUCAUUCAAUCUGAUGCAUUACCUCUAAUGUGUGUGUGUGGUCUCUUGGCCCUUUCAGCUGGUUGCCUGGUUUGCUUCACCCUCCGAACGUAACUCCAACGUGACUCCAGGUCAGUACAUUUACCUACUCCUGUGGCUGUGGUUGUGACGUUUUUAUUCAGGAACUAGCAUGGGAAUCAAUGUACCACCUAUGGGAUUGAUUGCGAGGUACUAUGAAGCAACCAUUGACAUUGAAGCACACAAUGCGAGCUGACAAGCUGUAUACCAAAGCAAUACCGAUACGGUGGUUGUUGUUGGCAUGUCCUUCUCUUUCUAUAUGCCAAAACGGGUGACGAUCAGCUAGCUGUAUGGAACACCUGUCGAUCAAAGCAAAGUUUAUUUUGCAGACAUCCUUUUCCAAAGCCUCUUUGUUCAGGAUGAAAGAGACAUAUUCAUACAGCAUGGAAAUGAAAACUGAAAAGGGUCUCUCACCGACCGUUAGCAGAUCCACUGUGUGGGGUUGUUGGAUCCGCACGGACCAAAACCGAAUGAGUACACAUAGAGCUAUACAUGAUAAAUGUGUCCUCAAGGACCACAUGUCUGUCUGUCUGUCAAAGCAUGGUUUAAUAAUACUCUGUACGAAUGUAUAUGGGAUUACUGGUGACUGAACAUCCUUAAUGAGAUUGGACUAUUUUGUUG